CACAAACAUGCAUACAACUGGCCGGUGAAUUUUUAUAUAGUCAAGACCUUGAUGUAAAACAUAUAGUAGUACUAAUAAAAUAUGCAUCCAACUGACACUUGUCACCGACCAUAACCAGAACUUGACGUGGACCUCUUUUAUUUAUUUACAAUAAUGUUAGUUUAUUUAUACUUGAUUUCAUUUGUCCUCCUUCAAGUUCUUAGAAUUACAAAAACAACCCCUUAUAAGUCGAUUUCACCUUAUAAUACUGUGAUAAAAUUCACGGAGUCCAUUAACGCUUUGUUGAUAACUCUCUAGAAGUAUACAAGUGUUGAAAGAGUGAAGUUCGAAAACAAUAGUAGAUGUGAGGAAUGACACCUCCGCCCUGGUAAUUAGGAAUUUUCCAAGCAAGGGACGUUUGUAGAACACCUACCUUUCCAACUAAGUUUAAGACGGAGAUCAUUUAAUUGAUGAUAUGUUCCGUUGUCAGCAAGCAGUGGCCGUUGGCCCUUUACAUUCAACCAAGUGCAUUAUUUGGUCUUUUUUCUUUAGAGCUUUAUAACAGUUUUAAAAAAAUCUAGGGAGAAGGUCUUCGUUGAAACAAUUGUAUAUAUUUCUUUUUCUAGUUUUGGGAUUAUAGGGGAAAGGGAUUUUGGAUAUACAAAAUUUUGAGAUGGGUGACCCUAUGCAUGUUUAUCUUGUGCUUGAUGUUGUUUAUGUUAGGAUUUUUUUUCCGAUUUUCUUAUCAAAUUUAAGUUUUAUUUUUUCUUAUAAGGAAAAUAAAAGUAACCAUAAAUACUUUUACUUUUCCUGAAAAGAAAAUAUAAAUUUUUUUAAUAUCUUGCUAACCUCUUUUUUGGAGGAAAGGUUUUGGACAUCUAUAAAUAGAAGACCCCUUCUCAUACUAUAACAUCCACAAUAUAGUCAUUAAAGAGUCUUUAUUUAGGGGAGAUUUCUCUCAAUAGGUUUAAUGUUUUUUAUAUUAGGUUUUAUAAUAUGUAGGCCGAUUGGUCAAAAUAUAUAAUAAUUUUAUGCCUUUUUAGUAUUAUUUUCUUUAUCAUCUGAUUUAUUGUCUCAAGGUUUGUAAACAUUAAGUUUCCGCAUGACGCCCUAUCGAUUUUGAACCGAACAGUUUAGUCGUAAUAUCCAUGUACAAUUUUCUAAAAUCAGAACACUACCCUUUGCUAAUUCUCUUCACCACUUUUUCUUUUUUGUGUGUGGGGUUUUAUGAAUACUAGGAGUACUUUAAUUAAGACUUUAACUAGUGGUAUAUUGACACGACUCUUAGGGCUCGUUUGGUGCUAAGAAUAAGGAAUACUUGUCAGGAAAAUUCAUGGAAUAACUAAUUUCAGAAUUAGUUAUUAUUUCGUGCGACUGUAGUAUUAUUUUUAUCCCACUUUAAGAAGGUAAAAAUUUACACGCAUCCGGCGUAUACACCAAAUUAAUGUUCUUUACCAUGAUUGAGUGAUUAAAUUAAGUAAAAUACUUGUUAAUUCAUCAUGCUUAAGUCACAUGAACUCUAAAUUCAAACAUAUGUUAUAAAUGUAUUGACUUAGUGUAUACACCGAGUACGUGUAAGUUUUAACCUUUUAAAAAUAAUGGGAUAACUAAUCCCAAAAUAAUUAGAAUCUUUGGAUAAGUAACUUGUUUCCAACCAAACGUGAAACGGCCCCUUAAUGUUGCAUUCAGUUAGAUUAGAUCUACUGUGGGUUUUAUCAUUUUAUAUUGAAUAAGAAACCAAACUUACAUACAUCUGGUCAUCAUAGAUUUAAACAAUGUAUUAUGUCGUUUUAUCUUUUAGCAUAAAUAAUUCUGAUAAUCUCCUGAACAACCAAAUUAAAAUCUUAUGUAUAUAUAAAUAAUCUACAAGUGGCUCCUAAACAUGUGUGUCAUGUAAUUAGUUGAAGUUAAAAAAGCUGGGUAGUUUGAAAGUGGGACUUCA
rnacentral:lncRNA from 1 species